rnacentral:rRNA from 1 species
UACGAAGGGGGCUAGCGUUGCUCGGAAUUACUGGGCGUAAAGGGUGCGUAGGCGGGUCUUUAAGUCAGGGGUGAAAUCCUGGAGCUCAACUCCAGAACUGCCUUUGAUACUGAGGAUCUUGAGUCCGGGAGAGGUGAGUGGAACUGCGAGUGUAGAGGUGAAAUUCGUAGAUAUUCGCAAGAACACCAGUGGCGAAGGCGGCUCACUGGCCCGGUACUGACGCUGAGGCACGAAAGCGUGGGGAGCAAACAGGG